ACUGUGUUGGCCGAGUGGUGAAGUCAUUGGACUUGAAAUCUAAUGGGGUCUCCCCACAUAGGUUCAAAUUCUGCUCAUAGUG
rnacentral:tRNA from 1 species